AGUUAAGUGACUAAGCGUACAAGGUGGAUGCCUUGGCAAUCAGAGGCGAUGAAGGACGUGCUAAUCUGCGAAAAGCUUGGAUGAGUCGAUAAGAGGCGUUUAAUCCAAGAUGUCCGAAUGGGGAAACCCAGUAGAUGAAGAAUCUACUAUCAACAAGUGAAUACAUAGCUUGUUGAGGCAAACCGGGAGAACUGAAACAUCUAAGUACCCCGAGGAAAAGAAAUCAACCGAGAUUUCGUUAGUAGCGGCGAGCGAACGCGAAGGAGCCUGUUAGUGAUAGCGACAGAGACAGAGGAACAAGCUGGGAAGCUUGGCGAUACCGGGUGAUAGCCCCGUACUCGAAGUCCAGGUCGUGGUACUAAGCUAACGAUAAGUAGGGCGGGACACGUGAUAUCCUGUUUGAAGAUGGGGGGACCAUCCUCCAAGGCUAAAUACUCCUGAUUGACCGAUAGUGAACCAGUACUGUGAAGGAAAGGCGAAAAGAACCCCGGUGAGGGAGUGAAAUGAACCUGAAACCUUGUACGUACAAGCAGUGGGAGCCCUUUAAGGGUGACUGCGUACCUUUUGUAUAAUGGGUCAGCGACUUAUAUUUUGUAGCGAGGUUAACCGAAUAGGGGAGCCGAAGGGAAACCGAGUCUUAACUGGGCGAAUAGUUGCAAGGUAUAGACCCGAAACCCGGUGAUCUAGCCAUGGGCAGGUUGAAGGUUGGGUAACACUAACUGGAGGACCGAACCGACUAAUGUUGAAAAUUAGCGGAUGACUUGUGGCUGGGGGUGAAAGGCCAAUCAAACCGGGAGAUAGCUGGUUCUCCCCGAAAUCUAUUUAGGUAGAGCCUUGAGCGGACACCUUCGGGGGUAGAGCACUGUUUCGGCUAGGGGUCCAUCCCGGAUUACCAACCCGAUGCAAACUACGAAUACCGAAGAGUGAUACUCAGGAGACACACGGCGGGUGCUAACGUCCGUCGUGGAGAGGGAAACAACCCAGACCGCCAGCUAAGGUCCCAAAGUCUAUAUUAAGUGGGAAACGAAGUGGGAAGGCUUAGACAGCUAGGAUGUUGGCUUAGAAGCAGCCAUCAUUUAAGAAAGCGUAAUAGCUCACUAGUCGAGUCGGCCUGCGCGGAAGAUGUAACGGGGCUCAAAUAUAGCACCGAAGCUGCGGCAUCAGUGGCAACACUGUUGGUAGGGGAGCGUUCUGUAAGCGGAUGAAGGUAGCUCGAGAGGGCUGCUGGACGUAUCAGAAGUGCGAAUGCUGACAUAAGUAACGAUAAAACGGGUGAAAAACCCGUUCGCCGGAAGACCAAGGGUUCCUGUCCAACGUUAAUCGGGGCAGGGUGAGUCGGCCCCUAAGGCGAGGCUGAAAAGCGUAGUCGAUGGGAAACGGGUUAAUAUUCCCGUACUUGGAUAAACUGCGAUGUGGGGACGGAGCAGGUUAGGUUAGCGCACUGUUGGAUAUGUGCGUUUAAGUUGGUAGGUGAGAAGUUUAGGCAAAUCCGGACUUCUUUAACACUGAGAGAUGAUGACGAGGCUCUACGGAGCUGAAGUAACCGAUACCACACUUCCAGGAAAAGC
rfam:Haemophilus pittmaniae HK 85 ctg1129913985444, whole genome shotgun sequence.